rnacentral:miRNA from 1 species
UGUGUGUGUGUGUCUGUGAGUGUGUGUGUGUACGCAUAUAUAUAUAUAAAUAUAUAUAUAUACACACACACACACACACACACACACACAGA